rnacentral:ncRNA from 1 species
UUCUUCAGGGUUGCGUGAAAUUCGCUACCGGCGGUAAAGCCCGCGAGCAUUUGCAUGAUUCGGUGAAAUUCCGAAGCCGACAGUAAAGUCUGGAUGAAAGAAGAA